UACGUAGGGGGCAAGCGUUGUCCGGAAUCAUUGGGCGUAAAGAGCGUGUAGGCGGCCCGAUAAGUCCGCUGUGAAAGUCCCAGGGCUCAACCCUGGGAUGCCGGUGGAUACUGUCGGGCUCGAGUCCGGAAGAGGAGUGUGGAAUUCCGUGGUGUAGCGGUGAAAUGCGCAGAUAUCAGGAGGAACACCAAUGGGCGAAGGCGACUCUUUGGCCUGUAACUGACGCUGGAGGCGCGACAGCCGUGGGGAGCAAACAGG
rnacentral:rRNA from 1 species